rnacentral:lncRNA from 1 species
GUCUACAUUGUUCCAGUUAGAAGCCCACGUCAGCUGACCUUUUGAGUCAACAACCACUUCAUCCCCAUUUGUGUCAUGUCUUUGUGCAGAAAAGAAACUAUCAUGGCCAAGCUAGCAUGAUAUCAUCAUACAUGUCUUCAAGUUUGGUCAUAUCUCAUGAUUUUAUGGUAGCGCCACCGCUUAAUCUUAUGGCAACACCAAGUCAAUUUUGUUCUGGCAAUACUGUUUCAAUAAUAUUAUCCAAACUGCUGUUCCUUCAACAGUAACUUUUUCCAACAUACUCAACUUGAAUUUCUAAUUUUUAUUUGCAAACUGAAGUUGUUAGACCGCCUUGAGUUUGGCGGGACGUG